AAGCAUGGAGCAUUUGAUUUAAUGAAGCCUCUUCUUAAGUUAUAACUCCCAUUCUGCACGGAUGAUCUCUGAAGAUUUUCAAUAAUUUCAUACCAUUUUAAGGUUUACCAUGGAUGAGAGAAGAUGGUGAUGCACUUGACAUUGUUGCCUUAUCUAGAAUGAAAUAAUUAUGUGCUGAAGUAAGCAACAUUAAAGAUCUCUUUGGCUAAAUUUCGUCGCGAAUUGUGUAUCCAUGGUGUGGGUGUGUCGCACACAUUUUUAUAUGCUAAUUUAUUUGUAGAUUUGAUUAUGAUAUCAAUAAUUUAGUUGUAGAGGACAGUAUUUUAUUGGUCUUGUUUUGAGAUUCCGUAGAUAAUUAUUAGGUAUUAUAAUUAUCAUAUUUAAUUUCUCUAUCGGGGUUCACUUUUGCCUAUCAAAGUUAGUCGCGUUGGUUCAAGCCCAUUACUGCUCAUGAGGUAAUUAAUGAGAAAGGAUCAUGACAUAUGGUUAUAUUGAGAAUGGCUUAAAGAACGUCAUCAUUAUAAAUAAAUUCAACAAUUUCUAAAAACUAUUUCAAUGGGAACUUAUUUACGA